GCAGCUCUGUGCGGUCUUGUAGACUCUUGCCUACAAACUAGAUAGGCACCUGAAGGCAUCCAAUAAGUAUCUGUUUCACUGAUAUAGGAAGAACAAAAUAGGUCACAUGCAAAGGCUCCAAUCUGUGGAUGGCCCCAGCCUGCUCAUCAGCCCUGUGGCAGCUGAAAGACUGACCGUCUUCAUGCCCUGGAGGGACAGUGGUCUCCAACUUUGAGUUCUCACUCAGCCAAGCAUCAGCCAACCAUGAGAUAGAAGGUCAUCUCUACACCCAACACAGGGCUCAAACCUACAACCCUGAGAUCCAAACUCACGCUCCACCGACCAGAGCCGCCCAGGCACCCCACUUUCUUUCCAGUAGGCUCCUUGCCCAACGUGGGGCUCAA